CGUUUACACAGUGCCGCAUUUAAAAAGAGGUUGCUGACAAGACCACAUGGAGCAAAGGACCCACAGAAGUCUUGAAAGGGAUCAAUGCGUUUACACAGUGCCGCAUUCGAAAAGAGGUUGCUGACAAGACCACAUGGAGCAAAGGACCCACAGAAGUUUUGAAAGGGAUCAAUGCGUUUACACAGUGCUGCAUUCGAAAAGAGGUUGCUCACAAGACCACAUGGUGCAAAGGCAUCUCUGAGGCCAAGUUAUACUCUCCCAAGGUCUCAAGCUGAACGCAGUUUAAAUGUCUCAAAGAAAGUGACGAUGCUUCUUGAUUGCCGGAACCGCCAUCGCUAAUCCGAUGCCUCUAGCUUCUAGAAGUUUACUGAGGACCAGCAGUCGAAAGGAAGAAGAAGCAGAUGAUGAUGGCGUAAUAGGAGCUCAAGGUAGACACAGAUUAACAGCGAACUCUGCUUGCACGGUAGAAGAUACGGAAGGGCCUGCCACAGUCGGGAAGAGUCUUGUGCCAAUGGACUUUGUUCGCGAAAGUUUCAGUACCUGAAUAAGGCUUCAACUUUUUGGAAUUGUCAUAGCCUCAAGCCUUUCCAGUGCAACUUGUGUCUACAGACAAUUGUGACGUGAAGUCAUCUGCUUGAAUUCCACAUGGACAGAGUGAAGGCAAACCUGAAGGAAAAUUACAAUAGAAAUUUAUGUUCCUCCUAUAAAAAA